AAAAAAGGUAAGCUACUAAGAGCGAAUGGUGGAUGCCUUGACUGGUAAAGGCGAUGAAGGACGUACUAGACUGCGAUAAGCUACGGGGAGCUGUCAAGAAGCUUUGAUCCGUAGAUUUCCGAAUGGGGCAACCCAAUGUAUAGAGAUAUACAUUACCUAUAUAGGAGCGAACGAGGGGAAUUGAAACAUCUUAGUACCCUCAGGAAAAGAAAUCAAUAGAGAUUGCGUCAGUAGCGGCGAGCGAAAGCGCAAGAGGGCAAACCCAGUGCUUGCACUGGGGGUUGUAGGACUGCAAUGUGCAAGAGCUGAGUUUAGCAGAACAUUCUGGAAAGUAUAGCCAUAGAGGGUGAUAGUCCCGUAUGCGAAAAACAAAGCUUAGCUAGCAGUAUCCUGAGUAGGGCGGGACACGAGGAAUCCUGUCUGAAUCCGGGUCGACCACGAUCCAACCCUAAAUACUAAUACCAGAUCGAUAGUGCACAAGUACCGUGAGGGAAAGGUGAAAAGAACUGAGGUGAUCAGAGUGAAAUAGAACCUGAAACCAUUUGCUUACAAUCAUUCAGAGCACUAUGUAGCAAUACAGUGUGAUGGACUGCCUUUUGCAUAAUGAGCCUGCGAGUUGUGGUGUCUGGCAAGGUUAAGCAAACGCGAAGCCGUAGCGAAAGCGAGUCUGAAUAGGGCGCUUAGUCAGAUGCUGCAGACCCGAAACGAAGUGAUCUAUCCAUGAGCAAGUUGAAGCUAGUGUAAGAACUAGUGGAGGACUGAACCCAUAGGCGUUGAAAAGCCCCGGGAUGACUUGUGGAUAGGGGUGAAAGGCCAAUCAAACUUCGUGAUAGCUGGUUCUCUCCGAAAUAUAUUUAGGUAUAGCGUUGUGUCGUAAUAUAAGGGGGUAGAGCACUGAAUGGGCUAGGGCAUACACCAAUGUACCAAACCCUAUCAAACUCCGAAUACCUUAUAUGUAAUCACAGCAGUCAGGCGGCGAGUGAUAAAAUCCGUCGUCAAGAGGGAAACAACCCAGACUACCAGCUAAGGUCCCUAAAUCUUACUUAAGUGGAAAACGAUGUGAAGUUACUUAAACAACCAGGAGGUUGGCUUAGAAGCAGCCAUCCUUUAAAGAAAGCGUAAUAGCUCACUGGUCUAGUGAUUUUGCGCGGAAAAUAUAACGGGGCUAAAGUAAGUACCGAAGCUGUAGACUUGCGCACAACUUAGAUUAUUUAAGUUUAGAAUAUGAGAAACUAAGUUAUGUUUAGUUAUAUUUUUACUGAUUUUUAUAGAGUAAAGAUAGAAAUAAAACUUAGUAAAAUCAGUAAAAAUAUUCUUAGGCUAAAGUUAAGUAGUUUAAGUUGUGUGCAAGUGGUAGGAGAGCGUUCUAUUUGCGUCGAAGGUAUACCGGUAAGGAGUGCUGGAGCGAAUAGAAGUGAGCAUGCAGGCAUGAGUAGCGAUAAUUAAUGUGAGAAUCAUUAACGCCGUAAACCCAAGGUUUCCUACGCGAUGCUCGUCAUCGUAGGGUUAGUCGGGUCCUAAGUCGAGUCCGAAAGGGGUAGACGAUGGCAAAUUGGUUAAUAUUCCAAUACCAACAUUAGUGUGCGAUGGAAGGACGCUUAGGGCUAAGGGGGCUAGCGGAUGGAAGUGCUAGUCUAAGGUCGUAGGAGGUUAUACAGGCAAAUCCGUAUAACAAUACUCCGAGAACUGAAAGGCUUUUUGAAGUCUUCGGAUGGAUAGAAGAACCCCUGAUGCCGUCGAGCCAAGAAAAGUUUCUAAGUUUAGCUAAUGUUGCCCGUACCGUAAACCGACACAGGUGGGUGGGAUGAGUAUUCUAAGGCGCGUGGAAGAACUCUCUUUAAGGAACUCUGCAAAAUAGCACCGUAUCUUCGGU
rnacentral:rRNA from 1 species